CCUACGGGAGGCAGCAGUGAGGAAUAUUGGUCAAUGGACGAGAGUCUGAACCAGCCAAGUAGCGUGAAGGAUGACUGCCCUAUGGGUUGUAAACUUCUUUUAUAUGGGAAUAAAAUGUGCCACGUGUGGGAUUUUGUAUGUACCAUAUGAAUAAGGAUCGGCUAACUCCGUGCCAGCAGCCGCGGUAAUACGGAGGAUCCGAGCGUUAUCCGGAUUUAUUGGGUUUAAAGGGAGCGUAGGUGGAUUGUUAAGUCAGUUGUGAAAGUGUGCGGCUCAACCGUAAAAUUGCAGUUGAAACUGGCAGUCUUGAGUACAGUAGAGGUGGGCGGAAUGCGUGGUGUAGCGGUGAAAUGCUUAGAUAUCACGAAGAACUCCGAUUGCGAAGGCAGCUCACUGGCCUGCAACUGACACUGAGGCUCGAAAGUGUGGGUAUCGAACAGGAUUAGAUACCCUUGUAGUC
rnacentral:rRNA from 1 species